GUAAUGUCUGGGAAACUGCCCGAUGGAGGGGGAUAACUACUGGAAACGGUAGCUAAUACCGCAUAACGUCGCAAGACCAAAGAGGGGGACCUUCGGGCCUCUUGCCAUCGGAUGUGCCCAGAUGGGAUUAGCUAGUAGGUGGGGUAACGGCUCACCUAGGCGACGAUCCCUAGCUGGUCUGAGAGGAUGACCAGCCACACUGGAACUGAGACACGGUCCAG
rnacentral:rRNA from 1 species